rnacentral:lncRNA from 1 species
GAUUGGUGAAGACAUAUAUUACAAUCCCCUCUGUAGACCGGUCCAGGAUGAAGUGUUACAUCACCUGGUCGUUGGACUCAGGCUAUGUGUUUAGGGCACAAGCAAAAGAUAAACAUAACAUAGGCCCAGCAAUAUGUCACAAUACAUCUGUGGGCAGCACCAAGGCAGAAGAGCCGACUCACACCACCUGGGUGCAACACCAAGCAAUGUCACAAUGACCACUGUGCGCUUUAUCAAAGCAGAAUAGAAUCACAUUACCAAGGGUAUGGGCCCGGUGAUAUGGCACUGUGGACUGGUCCCAGGAAAAGACAAAUAACUCAGAUGCUGGGCUAAGAUGUAUGUCACAUGACACUUGUAGAAAGGUCUUGUGAUGACAUUAACAAUUACACUCAUGUCCUGAGUCAAGGAAUGACAGUCAACACUUCCUGCAUGUUGGGUCUAAGUACAGGGGUCAGUCUCAAUGGUGGACUGGAUUUGUGCAUAAGAGCCUCAAUUUCUUUUGCAAAUUAUGUGCCUUAGUCUAGGCAAGGAGGCUCACACCUGUAAUCCCAGCACUUUGGGAGGCUGAGGUAAGUGGAUCACUUGAGGUCAGGAGUUCAAGACCAGCCUGACCAACAUGGUGAAACCCCAGUUCUACUAAAAAUUAGGCAGGAGACAAAUUACAUUGAUGCUGGGCACUGUAGUAUGUCACAAUGUCUUUUAAGGGCAGGGCCAGGCAAAAUAAUUUCGCUGAUGGGCCUAGUGAUGUGUUAGUUUUUCUGUGAGCAGAAUCUGUGAAGAAGAGGCAAGUAACAUCAGCUUGGUGCUGAAACCAGCAAUAGAUAUCAUUAUCCCCUAGUGAACAAGGACUAGGCAGGUGAAAAGAUUCACAUCACCUUGGUGAUUGGCACAAAGGUACGUAACAAUAUCCCUGGAAGGCAGUGGCCUGGCAGGAAUGUUACAUCACCUGGGUAUUGAAACCAGCUUCACAAUAGCCUAAGUAGACAGGGCACAGGUGGCAGAGUUCCAUCACCUGGGUGCUGAGCCCAAGGAUAUGUCACAAUAUUCCUGUGGGCAAGGCUCAGGCAGGAGAGAAACAUUUUCUAAUUGCUGGAUCCAGUGAUGUCACAAUCUUCUCUGUGGGAAGAAUGCAGGUAGAAGAGAAGAGUCACAUCUUUCUAGGUAAUGAGGCCAGAGACAUGCCACAAAGCCUCCUGUGGGCAGGGCCAAGGCAGGAACCUCUCAUCCCCUAGGUGUCAGUCCCAGAGAUACGUCCAAUAUUCAUGGGUUCUACACAGAGGCAUGUGUCACAAUCAUAGGUGCAGGAAGGUCCAAAUGAGAUUAACAAUCCUGUACAUAACCCGCUUCUGUGUGCAGCAGCAAGGCAGGAGAGGAGACUCACAUUACCUGGGUGCAAGGCUCUGAGAUAUGUUAAUGUCUUUUUUGAGUAGCACCAAGGCAGGAGAAUAGUUACAUCAUCUAGGUGCUGGGUCCAGCAGUGUGGCACAAUCCUAUUUGUAGGCUGGGCCAGUUCUGAAGAUCACAAUACUCAGCUGCUAGACAGAAGUGUGUCAAAACUGCACCUGAAGGAAAGACCAAGGAUGAGACUAACAAUCCUGUAUAUACCCCAAUUCUUGGUAUGAGAGUCAACACCUCCUGUAUGUUAAAUCCAAGUACACAAGUCACAUUUUUAGAAUGAAUUGAAUCAUUGAAUGAGAGACACAAUCCCUCUUACUGGCUGUUUCACCUUAGUGGAAUCACAGACUAACAGUGUGUUCAAUCUUGGUCUGAAAGUCACCAACUUAACUUUGGACUGGAUUCACUUAUAAGAGUAAAUUUUCCAACUUGCAACUGUCUCUGGAUAUGAGAUUCAGAACAUCCAGUGGAUUGUAUUCAUGUGAAAAGAGGACAAUCUUUACUGUCGUCCCCUGUGGGCAAAAACCUAGAAGAGGAGAAAAGUCAUGUUAGCUAGGUGCUGAGCCCUGUGAUACAUCACAAUCCUUUCUGUGAGUAGGGGCCAAGCAGAAGAGAGCUGCAUUACCUGUGUGAUGGAUGCAGGGAUAUGUCACAAUGUCCUCUGUAGGCAGGGCCUAAGCAGUAGAGUUACAUCACCUAGGUUUGGGACCCAACAGUAUGUCACAAUGGGCCACAUGGGCAGGGCACAGGCAGAAGAGUCACAUAACCUAUGUGUGGGGCCCAGCGAUAUGACACAAUGCCCCCUGUGGAAGAGCCAAGGCAGGAGAGAAGAUUCACACCACCUGGGUACAAGACCCAGCAAUAUGUCACAAUGUCUUCUGUGGGCAGUGCCAAGGCAGUGGAAUAGUUACAUUACCUCAAUUCUGGGUCCAACGAUAUGUCACAAUCCUUUCUGGGGGCUGGGCUCAGGCGGGAGCAACAACUCACUCUGUUGCCAGAUAAAGUCACAUGUCAUAAUCACACCAUCAGAAAUGUUCAGGGAUGAGAUUAUACAUCUGGACUGGAAAGAAUCAACACAUCAAAAAUAUGACCAGAUUGUGCAUGGUGGUGCAUGCCUGUAAUCCCAGCACUUUGGGAGGUCAAGGCGGGAGGAUACUUUGAGCCCAGGAGUUUGAGACUAUCCUGGGGGCCACAUGGUGAGACAACCCCUAUAUUAAAAAAUAAUCUUGAGAGGCCGAGGCCAGCAGAUCGCUUGACCGUGGGAGUUUGAGAUCAGCCUGGAAAACAUGAUGGAACCCCAUCUCUUGUGGUGCCGUAUACCUUUAGUCCCAGUUACUAAGGAAGCAGGGUGUCUGAAACAGAAGAAUCACCUGAGCCCAGGGAGGUCGAGGCUGUAGUUAGCUGUGAUCAAGUAACUGCACUUAAGCCUAGGUGAAAGAAAUCUAAAACAACAGCAACUGCAGUGUACAGGAAGGAGCAUGAGAGAGAGAGGGAAAAAAAACCCAAAAAACAAAAACCAACAAAACUCAAUGUACUGUGGAAACAAACUCAAAGUGGGGAUAGAAAAAAACAAACAAACAAAACACAGAACUAUCCCCAGAUCCCCAGCUAUUUGGGAGGCCAAAAUGGGAGGAUCACCUGGAUGAGCCCAGGAAGGUGGAGGGCACAGUGAGCCAUCAUUGAGCUUUUCUGGUGGACCUAAGCGGUACUGCACUGGCGAGAACCAU